ACGCUCGACACCUACGGGAGGCAGCAGUGGGGAAUAUUGCACAAUGGGGGAAACCCUGAUGCAGCGACGCCGCGUGGAGGAAGAAGGUCUUCGGAUUGUAAACUCCUGUUGUUAGGGGAAAAAGAGGAUGGUACCCAACAAGGAAGUGACGGCUAACUACGUACCAGCAGCCGCGGUAAUCUGAGCGGGCUGGCAAGGC
rnacentral:rRNA from 1 species